rnacentral:hammerhead_ribozyme from 1 species
AUCCAUCUGACGAGUCCCAAGUAAGAUGAAUCGCGCGUCCUGGAU